rnacentral:lncRNA from 1 species
UAGGGAGCUAGGUGAGAGGCAGGAUCAGACAGGCAAUCAUCAACAACAUACUCUGAAUUUAAGAAUGACCACCACACAGUAAGAGAACUGAAAUUUGGAGGAAAACUUCAGCUCUGUCUUCAUUGUUUUGUUUUGCCCUUCUCUUCCAUAGACAAGGUAGGAAAAGUCUGCCAUUACUGAAUAUAUUCAAUACUACCCUGAGAGAAGAAAUGAGGUGCUCAUGGGAAAAAAGUCAAAUAUAUGAUUGUUGCUUAAUUUAAGCUUGGUGGUCAUUUUCAUAGCCAGUAUAAACUGACAGAGCCUCAGUAUUUCAAACAGACUGUACCUUUUUUUUUUUUUUCCAAGACCUCUAAUGAUAUCAGAAGCUAACUCUGCCAUGGAAAAG